rnacentral:lncRNA from 1 species
UAGCUUGCUGCAAAGGUGUGUGAAGCUCAGCAAGUAACUGACGCAGCCAAGAUGCCUCAGCUACAGCAUUGGUGACAGCACGAUACUCCGCCUCGGCACUGGAACGGGAGACAGUAUUUUGGCGCUUGGAGGAACUGCGUAGCCUGAGGUCGACUUGCGAGUUUCAGGACAGCCUGCCCAAUCCGCGUCAGAGUAGACCACCAGCUCACUCUGACUAGAAGCACGCAAAUGAAGACCCAAAUCAAGAGUGCCACGAACAUAACGAAGGAUCCGCUUCAAGGCUGCAAGAUGAGGCUCACGCGGAUCAUGCAUGUAAAGACACACCUGCUGAACAGCAUAUACGAUAUCAGGCCGAGUGAAGGUGAGGUACUGUAAAGCGCCAGCAAGACUGCGAAAAUCCGUAGGAUCUGAAAUAGGGUCACCAUCAGCAGACAACUUCGGGUUGAGAUCUCCUGGAGUUGAACAUGGCUUACAGGCAGCCAUCCCAGCACGAUCCAAAAUAUCCAACAUGUACUGGUGCUGUGACAGAAAUAACCCAGAGGGAGUGCGCUGAACUUGCAUGCCCAAGAAAUUAUGAAGCUCACCCAAAUCCUUCAUGGAGAAUUCUUGCUGGAAGGAGUCAAUGAUCCGACGAAGCAAUUCCGUAGAGGAGGCUGUCAAAACAAUGUCAUCCACAUAUAGCAAGAGGUAGGUAGUAUCCUGACCACGGUGAAACACGAACAGCGAAGUGUCUGUUUUGGUCUCCACAAAGCCCAGGCGCAGAAGGAAGCUUGCAAAUCUACUGUACCAAGCACGCGGCGCCUGUUUCAACCCAUAGAGAGAACGAUUGAGGAGGCACACAAAAUUUGGGUGAGUGGAAUCCUCAAAUCUUGAAGGCUGCACGCAGUAAAGUCUCAGAUAGGUUCCCAUGAAGGAAAGCGUUCUUCACAUCAAGCUGAUGCACUGGCCAGUGGCGAGAGACCGCAAGAGACAGAACUGUUCGGACAGUAGCAGGCUUCACAACGGGGCUGAAGGUCUCAUCAUAGUCAAUGCCAGGACGUUGAGUGAACCCACGAAGAACCCAACGCGCUUUGUAGCGUUCAAGAGAGCCAUCGGCCUUAAACUUGUGUUUGAACACCCAUUUGCCUGUAACCACAUUGGAUCGAGGUGGACGCUGAACAAGAUCCCAAGUGUGGUUAGCAAGAAGUGCAGAGAACUCCUCCUGCAUAGCUGCGCGCCAAUUGGGGUCGGCAAGCGCGGCGCGGUAGGUCCUCGGGAUGGGUGACAGGGAGGCAACCUGAAGAGUGACCGGCUGUGGUUUGACCGGCUGUCGAAAGCCGGCCUUUCCCCUCGUUCUCAUGGCAUGCUGAUUGGCCACAGGAACGAUGCGAACAGCCCCAGCAGGAAGGCGUGCUGAAGCAGCAGAAGCCGGUGUCGCAGGCCGAGGUACUGUUGGAGCAGCGGGUGGUGGUGAAACCAGGGGACGCGGGCGACGGCUGUACGUCAGGCGGACAGGUGGUAUGGGCGCCAGUGCAGCCAUAUCAGUCGGGGAAAAGUGGACUGCGGGCGCCGGUGGUACACAAAACCGCCCCAGCGUUGAAAGCCGAGCGGUGGAGCUACAGGUGCAUAGCCGGCGGCUGUUGUUGGCCGGCUGGCUGCCGGGCUAGUCGUCGUCUGAGCAGCAGGUGCUGGUGAUGGCCGGCUGGAGGCCAGGCUGGUCACCGGGGGCCGGCUGGCUGCUGGAGACCUGCUGAACACCAAUGGAGCCUGGUUGGCUGCUGGGAGGUGCAGGCUGGUCGGCAUGGUAGUGUCCAAGGGGUGGCAGCCGCGUGUGGCUGCGCGGUAACACCUGGAGUACCUGUAGGAACAAAAAAUGAUGGCACUGGUGGAGCCACCACAGGGUCAGUAGAUAAAAAAUCGAAGUCCUGAGACGCGGGGCAUUCAGGGGCCUCGGAGAAUGGGAAGGAAGUCUCAUCAAAGACAACAUGCCGAGAAAUAAUGAUCCGGUUGGAGGACCGGUCGAGACAGCAAUAGCCUUGGUGAUGAGGAGAAUAACCGAGGAAGACACACAAGGAUGAGCGGGGAGCGAGUUUGUGUGGUGCAGUGGCAGACAAGUUGGGAUAACAACGACAACCAAAGACACGAAGAUGCUCAUAAGUUGGCGGGGAGCCAAAAAGAGCUUGAUGAGGAGUGUUGAAGUGAAGUGUCUUGGUAGGAAGAAUGUUAAGAAGCAUGGUGGCAGUGGAGAGUGCCUCAACCCAAUAUGCAGGUGGGACACUGGCCUGAAAUAGUAAAGAGCGAACAACGUUAUUAAUGGUUCGGAUAACAUGUUCGGCUUUACCAUUCUGAGAUGAAGUGUACGGGCAGGACAUGCGCAACUGAACACCAUGGGAGAGGAAGAAAGCACGGGCGCUGAGGUUGUCGAACUCUCGGCCAUUGUCGCACUGUAUGCCCUGAAUAGGAACACGAAACUGAGUAGCGACAUAGGCAAAGAAGUGAGACAAGGUGAAAAAGUGUCAGACUGAGUCGAAGUGAAACGCNNNNNNNNNNNNNNNNNNNNNNNNNNNNNNNNNNNNNNNNNNNNNNNNNNNNNNNNNNNNNNNNNNNNNNNNNNNNNNNNNNNNNNNNNNNNNNNNNNNNUGAUGCUGAACAGGGUUGGCAGACAUGUAUACAGUGCUGAUGUUAUCACAGUAAACCAAGGUAGCUUGCUGUAAAGGUGUGUGAAGCUCAGCAAGUAACUGACGCAGCCAAGAUGCCUCAGCUACAGCAUUGGCGACAGCACGAUACUCCGCCUCGGCACUGGAACGGGAGACAGUAUUCUGGCGCUUGGAGGACCAGGAAACUAGGUUGUCACCAAGAAAAACUGCGUAGCCUGAGGUAGACUUGCGAGUUUCAGGACAGCCUGCCCAAUCCGCAUCAGAGUAGACCACCAGCUCACUCUGACUAGAAGCACGCAAAUGAAGACCCAAAUCAAGAGUGCCACGAAUAUAACGAAGGAUCCGCUUCAAGGCUGCAAGAUGAGGCUCACGCGGAUCAUGCAUGUAAAGACACACCUGCUGAACAGCAUAUGCAAUAUCAGGCCGAGUGAAGGUGAGGUACUGUAAAGCGCCAGCAAGA